CCUACGGGUGGCAGCAGCUGGGAAUCUUGCGCAAUGGGCGAAAGCCUGACGCAGCGACGCCGCGUGGGGGAUGAAUGCUCUCGAGUUGUAAACCCCUUUCAGCAGGGACGAAUCUGACGGUACCUGCAGAAGAAGCCCCGGCCAACUACGUGCCAGCAGCCGCGGUAAGACGUAGGGGGCGAGCGUUGUCCGGAUUUAUUGGGCGUAAAGGGUUCCUAGGCGGCUGAGAAAGUCGGAUGUGAAAACUCCAGGCUCAACCUGGAGAUGCCAUUCGAUACUUCUCUAGCUAGAGUCCGGUAGGGGCGUGUGGAAUCUCCGGUGUAGCGGUGAAAUGCUUAGAUAUCGGGGGGAACACCAGUGGCGAAGGCGGCACGCUGGGCCGGAACUGACGCUGAAGAACGAAAGCGUGGGUAGCAAACAGGAUUAGAUACCCCAGUAGU
rnacentral:rRNA from 1 species